AACGCGACCAGGCAUUCCACUUCCAACUUUUCCCGUUUUAAAGCAGAAGCAGCCAGCGCCGCUUGCUUCCGCGGGUUAUAAACGCCGUCUGGGGCGUGGGGGACACCAUAAUUAAUAGCAGAUCCUGUGUGGCCAUCUGAGCGUCUUUUGGAAUCCACAAAGAUGAUUAAUCACAGUACCCUGAACACCCACAUGGCUUUGCAAGGUGCUGAAGAUCUCAAGCAGUCAUGGCAUGCCUUCAGCUUUUGCAAGCAACCCUCUGACGCAGGAUGCCAGCUAAUGCUCAGUGGGAUCUACCUCCAUGAGUAAAUACCUUGACAUUUGGCCUGUAGUUCAUGAGCAUCUGAGGUUGUCGUAAAGUAGAAGUGUUUAAACAAUCACCAUUUUCUGAUUUGCAAGGUGAUUUUAUAAUGCAGUGUGACUCAACAGCAGGAAAGUGUUAAGAAAUAGGUAGAGGCUGAACUGUUGCUACCAGCCAAUUUUUUUUUUUGGCAGAGGUGCUCUGUUCUGCAGGAGGGCUCCUCCUUCUGCUCUGUAUCUCCACCAUGCACCCAGCUUUGAAAAUAGAUCACAGAGCCAUGGUCAUUGUACCAUGGAGAUAAGGGUUAACUUCUAACCUUUGCAAAAUUAUUGUUUGUUAUAAACUUGUGUCACAGUAAACUACACAUGUAUUAUUUAUUAGUGCAGAAAGUUUAGAAAUAAGUUUAGAAACCAGAACUCCGCACACAUGUGCAUUCAUGUACAUCUAUGUCUGUACACUUGCAUGUACACAGAGAGAAAUCAUGUAGAGAAGUGUCUGUACUGCUUGGCAGAGCUAUAUUUGAUGAGAAGACUGAAAACACUCUACUAAAGACUAAUUGCAAUAUUUUCCAAUGGGUAUUUACUUACAAUACUCAUUGAUAAUUUUGUUAGCAGCACAUUAACAUUUUCUCCAUGUUUAAAACACUUUAAACUGAGACAAUAAAAAAAUGACAGUAAGGAUAAAUGUAUCUAUAUCCCUUUUGUUUCUUUUCCUUGAGCAUUUGAAAUCAUAAACAUCAUUGGAAUUUUUGAGCAUUUAAUAUUGUUGUUAAGUCAUGACCAUGUAACUAUUUUCUAUAGCUCCAUGCAGUAAUUCCCCACCCUGCAGGUGUGAGGUGGCUGGGAGGAUCACUGAGCCUUGGAAACAUCCACAGCAGAUUGCAGUUGAAAAAAAUACAGUCACUGACAAUACAUGUGUAGUGUAACAGUAAUUUUAAAACUGUGAUAAGCAUAACACAACACUAAAACCACCCACAAAACUCAGGUCUCAUCAAAGAACUCUGCUUCAUCAGAGUAAUAAAAUAGUAAAAACCAUUUUAAUCAGGAACUGCAGGCUGUAGAGUCAGCCUGAUAGGUUUAUUUUGACAGCAAAUACCCAUAACAAUCGUAACAGAUGCAUCCACCAAAUUAUCAUGUGUGAUUUGCAGCCAGGUUAAAGUCAAUUCUACAUAAAAAAGCCUGAACUCGCUGUUAAAUGUUUGCUCCACCAAUUACUCAAACUACUGUUAAGAAGUAUUUUGGAACUUUUCUUUGGAGACUUUGCAGUCAAAAGAUUUUUUUCCCAAAUAGUUAAGAUUGCUUAUC